GGGGUCAUAGCUUAGUUGGUAGAGCGCCUCGUUUGCACCGAGGAGGUCAGGAGUUCGACUCUCCUUGACUCCA
rnacentral:tRNA from 1 species